GGAAUUGUUCGCAAUGGGCGCAAGCCUGACGACGCAACGCCGCGUGGAGGAUGAAGAUUUUCGGAUCGUAAACUCCUGUCGAAUGGGACGAAUGGCUCGGCCGUGAAUAACGGCCGGGAAUGACGGUACCGUGAGAGGAAGCCCCGGCUAACUCCGUGCCAGCAGCCGCGGUAAUACGGGGGGGGCAAGCGUUGUUCGGAAUUACUGGGCGUAAAGGGCUCGUAGGUGGCCACCUAAGUCCGACGUGAAAUCCCUCGGCUCAACCGGGGAACUGCGUCGGAUACUGGGUGGCUUGAAUCCGGGAGAGGGACGUGGAAUUCCAGGUGUAGCGGUGAAAUGCGUAGAUAUCUGGAGGAACACCGGUGGCGAAGGCGGCGUCCUGGACCGGUAUUGACACUGAGGAGCGAAAGCCAGGGGAGCAAACGGGAUUAGA
rnacentral:rRNA from 1 species